CGCACCAUGUGGGCCCGGGCAGUGGUCGCCUGGGUCGAACGCACUUCCCAGCCUCCUGUAGACCCUGGUUGGUGGGUUGUGGAUGAGGAAACUGAGGCUCAGAUCACAGACACAAUAAGUCAGGCCAUUCCCUUUCCUCUGCAAACUGGCCUUUUCCACAUGGGAACUACGCUUACCUCGAGGAGCGGAGCUCUUAGGGGCCACCUUCCCACGGACGGAGGGAACUGGUUUGCCUUCUGUCAGAGCCACGCCGCGGGCGACAGCACUCAGGAGCGCACACACCCUGGGUCCUGCUUCUUUGAGAGGGUUGAGACAGGGUCUCCCUGUGUAGUCCAGGCUGGCCUUGAACUCAUGGCGAUCCUCCUGCCUCAGCCUCCCAAGCGCUGGGAUGACAGGCGUGCGCCAACCCCUUGUACAAAGCCCCUCUUUAGGAAGCCUCCCCGGGCCCGUCUUCCCUCCCUCCCGCCCGCCCAGCUCAGCCCCGAGGCCGAGCCGAGCCGAAGCGCCCGGCAAAGGCAUUGUUUGGGUUCCUAGGCCCCGCCCCCUAGCGGUGCCGCGGAAGGACACACCCUGAUGCGGAACCAGGUUUCCUUUUUUAUUUUGUUAGAAAAUAAAGUGUUUAUUUAAAGAACA